CAAAACACGGUCUCAGUUCAGAUUGCAGGCUGCAACUCGCCCUGCAUGAAGUUGGAAUUGCUAGUAAUCGCGAAUCAGAAUGUCGCGGUGAAUACGUUCCCGGGCCCUUGUACACACCGCCCGUCACACCAUGAGAGUCGAUAACACCCGAAGCCUGUGAGCCAACCUUUUAGGAGGCAGCAGUCGAAGGUGGGGUUGAUGAUUGGGGUGAAGUCGUAACAAGGUACC
rnacentral:rRNA from 1 species